rnacentral:rRNA from 1 species
UACGAAGGGGGCUAGCGUUGUUCGGAAUCACUGGGCGUAAAGCGCACGUAGGCGGAUUCUUAAGUCGGUGGUGAAAGCCUGGAGCUCAACUCCAGAACUGCCUUCGAUACUGAGAGUCUUGAGUCCGGGAGAGGUGAGUGGAACUGCGAGUGUAGAGGUGAAAUUCGUAGAUAUUCGCAAGAACACCAGUGGCGAAGGCGGCUCACUGGCCCGGUACUGACGCUGAGGUGCGAAAGCGUGGGGAGCAAACAGG